rnacentral:rRNA from 1 species
UACGGAGGGUGCAAGCGUUAUCCGGAUUCACUGGGUUUAAAGGGUGCGUAGGUGGGUUGGUAAGUCAGUGGUGAAAUCUCCAGGCUUAACUUGGAAACUGCCAUUGAUACUAUCAAUCUUGGAUACCGUGGAGGUCAGCGGAAUAUGUCAUGUAGCGGUGAAAUGCUUAGAUAUGUCAUAGAACACCAAUUGCGAAGGCAGCUGGCUACACGAAUAUUGACACUGAUGCACGAAAGCGUGGGGAUCAAACAGG